GGGGUUUAGCUCAGCUGGCUAGAGCGCCUGCCUUGCAAGCAGGAGGUCAUCGGUUCGAUUCCGAUAAUCUCC
rnacentral:tRNA from 2 species